GUCACACUGAAAGCCAGAGCUCAGGUCAAAGACUCGGUGAUUGCUUUUCAUCUUUAACUGUAAGUGUGAGUGCACAGAGUCUCUUCCCUGGGGUCAGUUUCCUCCAGAGGGUUGGACUGCAUGGAUUGCUAAAGUCCCUUCCAGCUCUGACCUUCUAGGAUCCUAAGAGAACGAAGGGUGAGAGGAAUGUGCAUUAGAAGCUGUGGCAGGACUGCGGGGAGGAAGUAACACGCUUGCGCUGACAGGAGAGGCAGGAAGGAGGGAGGAGCAAGCCACAGGCUGGGGGAGGAAGAGGAAGAGAAGGAGGAGGAGGAGGAUGGCAGCAGCUCCGCUGCCACCGCUGGUCACCUUGGUUUGGGCUGGAGUUCUGCUCCUCCCAACAGAGUCCCAUGGCGCUGUCUUUGCUCAGCCCCAGACCCUGCCUUUCUCUUGGAACCUUGGGCAGAUGGCAAGGGCCCUUCAGUUGGACUGGCCACCAGGUUCUCCCAAGGCAGCCCUGCUGGCCCAGGCCCUAGAGCGGCUCCUUGAGGCAGAGGCUGGGUGGCGGGAGACCAAGGCUGAAGCUGCUGCCCUGGCCCAGCUCCUCUUGCACCUGUGGGGAGGCUCCCAUCUUGAGCCUGAGGUCAACAUGGAGGAGACAGUGUCACUUGGUCCCAAGGCCCAGGCCAAGGAUGAGGCAGCAGAUUCCAAGCAGGCACUCCUCAGGUACCACUGGAGGGAAGGUGGAUGGGUCUGGGGAGGGGCAGAAUUGGUGGCACUGGAGACUUCUGGAUAUUUCCAUCCACAGAUUUGUGAUGAGCCAGCUGUUGGCCAAGAUGUCGGAGACCCAAAUCCCUCCCAUCUUGGUCAGGGGGGAACCAUGGCCCCGGCAACGUCGUCAUUUGCGCCGGGACCUGGGGCCAGGUCCUGCUUCCGUGUCACAUGGGACUGCACUACAGCGCCUGAACCGCCUGGAGGCCUUGGGAGCCAAGGGCAGGGCUCAGGUGCAGUGGGGAGUACCACUUGCUACCACACGCUACUGGCCAGAGUGACAGGGUCUCCAUCCACCCUUGCUUCCUGUCUCUCUCCUCCAUCAUGCAUGUUUAUCCCCAGCCUUGGCACCCAAGCUUAA
rnacentral:lncRNA from 1 species